rnacentral:rRNA from 1 species
UCGAGGGGUAUAGUUCUUCGGAAUUAGAGACCGGCGCACGGGUGCGUAACGCGUAUGCAAUCUACCUUUUACAGAGGGAUAGCCCAGAGAAAUUUGGAUUAAUACCUCAUGGUAUAAUGAGUUGGCAUCAACACAUUAUUAAAGUCACAACGGUGAAAGAUGAGCAUGCGUCCCAUUAGCUAGUUGGUAAGGUAACGGCUUACCAAGGCGACGAUGGGUAGGGGUCCUGAGAGGGAGAUCCCCCACACUGGUACUGAGACACGGACCAGACUCCUACGGGAGGCAGCAGUGAGGAAUAUUGGUCAAUGGGCGCAAGCCUGAGCCAGCCAUGCCGCGUGCAGGAUGACGGUCCUAUGGAUUGUAAACUGCUUUUGUACGGGAAGAAACAACUCUACGUGUAGAGUCUUGACGGUACCGUAAGAAUAAGGAUCGGCUAACUCCGUGCCAGCAGCCGCGGUAAUACGGAGGAUCCAAGCGUUAUCCGGAAUCAUUGGGUUUAAAGGGUCCGUAGGCGGUUUAGUAAGUCAGUGGUGAAAGCCCAUCGCUCAACGGUGGAACGGCCAUUGAUACUGCUAGACUUGAAUUAUUAGGAAGUAACUAGAAUAUGUAGUGUAGCGGUGAAAUGCUUAGAGAUUACAUGGAAUACCAAUUGCGAAGGCAGG